GAUGAACGCUGGCGGCGUGCCUAAUACAUGCAAGUCGAGCGAACGGACGAGAAGCUUGCUUCUCUGAUGUUAGCGGCGGACGGGUGAGUAACACGUGGAUAACCUACCUAUAAGACUGGGAUAACUUCGGGAAACCGGAGCUAAUACCGGAUGAUAUUUUGAACCGCAUGGUUCAAAAGUGAAAGACGGUCUUGCUGUCACUUAUAGAUGGAUCCGCGCUGCAUUAGCUAGUUGGUAAGGUAACGGCUUACCAAGGCAACGAUGCAUAGCCGACCUGAGAGGGUGAUCGGACACACUGGAACUGAGACACGGUCCAGACUCCGACGGGAGGCAGCAGUAGGGAAUCUUCCGCAAUGGGCGAAAGCCUGACGGAGCAACGCCGCGUGAGUGAUGAAGGUCUUCGGAUCGUAAAACUCUGUUAUUAGGGAAGAACAUAUGUGUAAGUAACUGUGCACAUCUUGACGGUACCUAAUCAGAAAGCCACGGCUAACUACGUG
rnacentral:rRNA from 1 species